GGAAAUUUUGUAUAGAUUAAAACAACAGCAAAUCACGUCCCCUCAAACCUCCACGCGCUCCCUUUUCUGACUUCCGACCAUAACCCUCUUUCUUCCCCAGCUCGAGUCAUGGAUUGUGCUUCAUUCCACAGAUUACGAAUCUGACUUCAAGACUAGAAUUCCCCUGGAUCGGAUGGCUGAACAUUAAACAAAUUUCCAGAUCCAGAUUCCGCUGCCCCGACGUCAUCGUCUCCUCUGCGCUUGGAAAAAGAGGGAAUGGAACUCAAAAGACAGUAGUAUGGAAUCAAGUCUAUUUCAUCCGAUACUAUUAAAUGGGAUAUUCUACCUUAUUUCCAUCAAGGUCUA